rnacentral:lncRNA from 1 species
ACUGCAGGGACAAAUAGAGAUAAGUAGGGAUAAAUAGAGAUAAAUAGAGACAAAUAGAGAUAGGUAGGGAAAGACAGGGACUUGCAGGAAGUAACAGGGACCAUAGGGACAGACAGGGAUAGAUAAAGACUAGCAAAGACUAGCCGAGAUUAGCAAAGACCAGCAAGGACUAGCAGAGACUAGCAAAGACUAGCAGAAACUUGCAGGGACAGGCAGAGACAGAUAGGGACAGAUAGGGUCCUAUAGGGACUUGAACGAGGAAGAUCUGCUGGAAAAGAAAAGAACUACAACCAACCAGACGAACAAGAAACACUGUUACAAGUCAGCUGGCAGCAACAUAAGUGACACAAAGUGAACCGGGUUCUAUAAAUUACCAUGGAAAGUGGUGAGCCAACGAUUUGGCAGAACAAAACCCUGAGGAUAUGCAAACAAAAGGGACUAUGGAAUUUGCAAUUGCAGAUUAAAAUUGAAGAAGAAAACAUUUGAGUUGCAAAUACUGUAUUAAAAGUGGACACUGCUUAUGACUGCUGUAUGCAACAGUUUUUCAGGCCCGAGGUGAUAAAUAAAAAAUUGUUUGCUCUAUUUAA